GUGGGGAAUUUUGGACAAUGGGCGCAAGCCUGAUCCAGCCAUUCCGCGUGCAGGAUGAAGGCCUUCGGGUUGUAAACUGCUUUUGUACGGAACGAAAAGGUUCUCUCUAAUACAGGGGGCUGAUGACGGUACCGUAAGAAUAAGCACCGGCUAACUACGUGCCAGCAGCCGCGGUAAUACGUAGGGUGCAAGCGUUAAUCGGAAUUACUGGGCGUAAAGCGUGCGCAGGCGGUGAUGUAAGACAGAUGUGAAAUCCCCGGGCUCAACCUGGGAACUGCAUUUGUGACUGCAUUGCUGGAGUGCGGCAGAGGGGGAUGGAAUUCCGCGUGUAGCAGUGAAAUGCGUAGAUAUGCGGAGGAACACCGAUGGCGAAGGCAAUCCCCUGGGCCUGCACUGACGCUCAUGCACGAAAGCGUGGGGAGCAAACAGGAUUAGAAACCCCGGUAGUCC
rnacentral:rRNA from 1 species